GCCGGUUUAGCUCAGUUGGUAGAGCAGCGCACUUGUAAUGCGAAGGUCGAGGGUUCAACUCCUUUAACCGGCACCA
rnacentral:tRNA from 7 species